UACGUAGGGGGCAAGCGUUGUCCGGAUUUAUUGGGCGUAAAGCGCUCGCAGGUGGUUCGUCGCGUCGUGCGUGAAAGACCCCGGCUCAACUGGGGGGUGUCGUGCGAUACGGGCGGACUGGAGGCCAGUAAGGGGAUGCGGAAUUCCGGGUGUAGUGGUGAAAUGCGUAGAUAUCUGGAGGAACACCGGUGGCGAAGGCGGCAUCCUGGACCAAUUCUGACACUGAGGAGCGAAAGCCAGGGGAGCAAACGGG
rnacentral:rRNA from 1 species